GUAAUAAAUAUUCUCUCAAACUAAAGUAGCUAACCACGUUCGAAGAGAGAAGAAGACUCGUAGCCCAUGGAUCCCGCCACCGGCGGCGAGACCAGCGUCCGCCCCAGGAUGCGGAGCAGCUCCACCGACUCCUUCUUCUCCGACUGGGUCGUCGUCGAUGGAUCCGACGACGCUCCUUCCUCCGAUCAAGAAUCCGACGUCUACGAUGAUUCCGACGGCGACGAGAUGGAAGUGGAUCAAGAUCGAGACUUCGAUCGGUAUUUUGAUGAGAUUUUGGUUCCGAUGAGUUCCGUCAACGAGGAGAUGUCGCUCCGCGUCCUCUACCGCGUCCUCCCCUAUCUACCGGCCAAGUCCCUCCUCCGCCUCCGGUGCGUCUCCCGCAAGUGGAACGAAUGCAUCUCCGGCCAGUUCUUCAUCAACUCCCACUCCCUCCACCCCCACCCCAUCUCCGGCCUCUUCUUGCACUGCCCCACCGGCGCCGGCGCCGGCGACGGUGACGAGCUCCCUGCGUACGCCCCCUUCGACCGCGCCGCCGAUGACCUCCCCGACCCCUCCCUCUCCUUCCUCCCCGAGCCCGUCGCCGUCGCCGCCUCCGCCCGUGGCCUCCUCUGCUGUCGCGGCCGCGCCUCCGGGGGUUACUACGUCUGCAACCCCACCAUCUUCGCCUGGGCCGCCCUCCCGCCGCCGGUCAACGACCACGGCGCCGACCCCGCCGUCGCCCUCGUCUUCGACGAGCCGGGCGUCUACAACUUCCACGCCGACUACCGCGUCGUCUGCGCCUACCCCAUCGCCGGCGGCGGCUGCGACGGUAUCUACGGGUUCGAGACCUUCUCCUCUGCCGCUUGGAAAUGGGCGGCGUCGGGCGAGAUAUGCCCCGCCGAGCGGAUCCUCGCCGGAUCGGGGGUCACCGCCGGCGGGAAGGCGUACUGGCGGACGACGACGGAGGAGGUGGUGGAGUUCGAUCCGGUGGGGGACGCGUGGACGGCGAUCUCGAGGCCUGGGGAGGAUCUUGAUCUGAUGGUGUGGGAGCUGGGUGAGAUGGAGGGGAGAGUGAGCUGCACGUGCGUGGAGAAGGGAUCGGUGACGGUGUGGGUGAUGGGUAACGGCGGAUGGGAGGAGGCCGGCGAGUGGUACAGGGUUUGGUCGGGGAGCGGCGAGGAGUGGCCGCGGCCGCUGAGGUCGCAAGGCGGGAGGGAGCUGCUCUUCUGGGAGGCGGAGGGCAGGAGCGUGGUGGCCAGGGACCUCGAGGGCCGGGUCACGAGGACCCUCCGCGAGGACACCACGGCUUUUUACACCGACUUCUUGCCCUACGUCAGCACCCUUGUCCAAGUCCGGAGCGCCAUGAAUCUGCGAUUGAUGCAGGCAAGCUACAAACCCAACCAAUGAGAAUGCGAAUCCGGAGGCAACUGUGGAUCCAAUCCAAUCCGACCCAUGAAAGUGAAUUCAAGUUUAUAAAGAGCUCAAGACAUUGCAUGGAGAAUUAUUUAGCUUUAACUCCACGUCAAAAGUGGACCGAAAGCUAUAGACGAAUUGGAUCCUACAGGGCAUCUUUGUAUCUUAUGUUGUGCCACAAUCUUUCGGUGCGCCCAAUGAGGGGGACGUAGAAUUAUCACUUUUUAAUAUCGACGAUGGUUGUUAUGUCUUGUUAGCUAAGCAUUUGCCAUGUAUAAAGGCGUUACUUUGGAUCA